GAAAAAAUUGUCCAACAAGGGGAUUCCUGUGAAACAUCACAUAUAAUUUUAGAAUGAGAUAAAAAAAAGUCUGGGAAAUACAAUAAGACACAGACACAGUAAUUUUGAGAAAGAAAAAAAACGGUUUAGCAUAUCAAUUUGCUGAACUUCUGUAUAAUGGCAACUAUUAAAUAUUGUCACUUGGAACAUCAAAUCGAGCUAUAUUUUUUAAUUUGCAGAAGAAUAAAUAAAUAUAAAAUUACAUAACUUUUAGGUACGAAUGCGAAAGCAGAAUUUAUACUCCAUGUACAUCCAACAUAUGAGAUUUGAAAGUGAGAAGAGAAAAUGAUGCAGUUUAAAUCUGACUGUGAAAUAGGAAAAACAGUCUCGGUGAACUUAUUGCCACCAACUAACAAAUGUCAGCCUGGCCAUCAAAAAUACAGAGAACAGAAACAUAUUCAAGCCUUAUAAAAUAGAAAAUUUAGAAUGAGGUGAUUGAGAUGGUGAUUAUACAAUCAAAAAAAGCUGUGGUGAAGUUCAAACAAAGUGUACCCUUGCUAAGCAUUCUUGGUUGGGAAAGUUGAAUUGUGUUCUCGUGUUGUUGCAAUAUAUUUUGAACCUAAUUAUGUUGGGAAUUCUAAAUUAAGCAAAAUAUUAUUGUGUUCAAAUUUGAAUGAAGAAAUUGUUUCUUUUUUAUUAAUGCUGUUGCAACUAAAGCCAGUGUAAUAAGACCAGAUCCCAAUUUAUUGUAAAUUUGAGACAUAACUUUCUUCAAAAAAUUAGGUCUACCUUAAAUUCCAAAUGCCAUUCACUUAUUAAUUUCUUGCAUAUCACCAUUAUUGCAAUUUAUACAAAUCAACUUAUGUAAAAUUUCAUUUUUAAUAAAAAUAAAAAAUAUCAUAA